CCCCGCCUCCACCAAGCAUUCCAAUGGCCGCCAUGGACAUCCUCUCCUGCAAGCUCCGCUCCCUCCGCCUCAAUUCCGCCCUCCUCCCCUCCCCUCCUUCUCCGUCCCGCUCCGUCCCCAUCUCCCGCCGCCUCCGCCGCCGCCGCCAUGCACCCCUCCACUGCCGCCUAACCACCUCAUCCUCCCCCUCAACUUCCACCACCACCACCACUACGGAAGAGGCGAAAAACCAGGACCUUUCCUCCCUCCUCUCCUCAUCCUCCGACCCCUCCGCCGCCGGCGCCGCCAAGAAGAAGCGGUCGGGCGGCAGCAGCGGUGCGUCGAGCAUCCCGUC
rnacentral:lncRNA from 1 species